rnacentral:rRNA from 1 species
GAUGAACGCUGGCGGCGUGCCUAAUACAUGCAAGUCGAGCGAACAGACGAGGCUCUUGCUUCUCUGACGUUAGCGGCGGACGGGUGAGUAACACGAGGAUAACCGACCUAUAAGACUAGGAUAAGUUCGGGAAACCGAAUACAAUACCGGAUAAUAUAUUGAACCUCAGGGUUCAAUAGUGACAGACGGUUCAGCUGACACUAAGAGAGGGAACCUAGCCGGAUUGGCUAGUUGGUAAGGUAACGGCGUACCAAGACAACGCUGCGUAGCCGACCUGAGAGGAUGAUCAGUCACACUGGAACUGAGACACGGUCCAGACUCCUACGGGAGGCAGCAGUAGGGAAUCUUGGACAAUGGGCGAAAGCCUGAUGCAGCCACGCCGCGUGUGUGAUGAAGGUCUUCGGAUCGUAAAACUCUGUUAUUUGGGAAGAACGGAAGUAAGUGAAUAUAUUGCCGUCUUGACGUUACCAACACAGUAAGCAACGGCUAACUUCGUG